rnacentral:rRNA from 1 species
UAGGGAAUCUUCGGCAAUGGACGAAAGUCUGACCGAGCAACGCCGCGUGAGUGAAGAAGGUUUUCGGAUCGUAAAACUCUGUUGUUAGAGAAGAACAAGGACGUUAGUAACUGAACGUCCCCUGACGGUAUCUAACCAGAAAGCCACGGCUAACUACGUGCCAGCAGCCGCGGUAAUACGUAGGUGGCAAGCGUUGUCCGGAUUUAUUGGGCGUAAAGCGAGCGCAGGCGGUUUCUUAAGUCUGAUGUGAAAGCCCCCGGCUCAACCGGGGAGGGUCAUUGGAAACUGGGAGACUUGAGUGCAGAAGAGGAGAGUGGAAUUCCAUGUGUAGCGGUGAAGUGCGUAGAUAUAUGGAGGAACACCAGUGGCGAAGGCGGCUCUCUGGUCUGUAACUGACGCUGAGGCUCGAAAGAGUGGGGAGCAAACAGG